ACGGCGAGUGAAGCGGGACUAGCUCAGGAUGUAAAUCUGCGCUGUAUGGCGCCGAAUUGUGGUCUGUAGACUUUGACGUUAUCUGCCGGGCCAAGUUCCUUGGAAAAGGACAGCUGAGAGGGUGAGACUCCCGUCCGCCUGGUAGAAUGAGUCAUGUGUCAACGAGUCGAGUUGUUUGGGAUUGCAGCUCUAAUUUGGUGGUAAAUUCCAUCUAAAGCUAAAUAUUGGUGGGAGACCGAUAGCGUACAAGUACCGUGAGGGAAAGAUGCAAAGAACUUUGAAAAGAGAGUUAAAGAGUACCUGAAAUUGCUGAAACGGAAGCGAAGGAAACCAGUGUUUGUUGGUUCAUAUUUCCCUGUCCACUUGUGGACUGGGCGCUGUGAGCUAGCGUGGGUUUGCUUUGGUUGAUCCCUUUGGAAGAGCGCAGUCAGAGUUGAUGUCUGUUGCUAGC
rnacentral:rRNA from 2 species